UGCGUAGGCGGGUCUUUAAGUCAGGGGUGAAAUCCUGGAGCUCAACUCCAGAACUGCCUUUGAUACUGAAGAUCUUGAGUUCGGGAGAGGUGAGUGGAACUGCGAGUGUAGAGGUGAAAUUCGUAGAUAUUCGCAAGAACACCAGUGGCGAAGGCGGCUCACUGGCCCGAUACUGACGCUGAGGACACGAAAGCGUGGGGAGCAAACA
rnacentral:rRNA from 1 species